rnacentral:misc_RNA from 1 species
GAUUAACGCAUAAAAAAUCUCACUUGAUCACCUUCUGUGAUCAGGACCCAGCUUGGAGCAUUGUAUAUGGUAGGGUGGUGAUAUGCAAGUUUAAAUGCUGUAAGGUUGGGGCUUCGGUAAGUCUUUGACGAGCCCACAGAGCAAAGCAGUAUCAGGAAUAUUGUACUCAUCCCUAAGAGAGCGUGCAGGAGAGAGAACGCUAGCAUAAAGUUGCUGACCCAGGUAGGUUUUCUCCCACAGCUCAGACCUUAAGUUCCACAUUCCAGCAUUGUCGAAUGUCAAGAAGAUGGCUGCCCAUGAUUUCGGAAACACCUGCACUGUGGUCCUGCUAACU